GACGAACCGUGCGAACGUUGUUCGGAAUCACUGGGCAUAAAGGGCGCGUAGGCGGCUUAUCAAGUCAGGGGUGAAAUCCGGCAGCUCAACUGUCGAAGUGCCUUUGAUACUGAUGAGCUAGAGGGAGAUAGGGGUAUGCGGAACUUCCGGUGGAGCGGUGAAAUGCGUUGAUAUCGGAAGGAAGCGCCCGGUGGCGAAAGCGGCGUACUGGAUCUCUUCUGACGCUGAGGCGCGAAAGCUAGGGGAGCAAACGGG
rnacentral:rRNA from 1 species